UGUGAAACUCGUGCAUUCCAUCUGAAAACUUACCCUUCAUUCCUCUUUCCCCAGUCCCCUUCUUUCCUCGCCUCCCCUGAGUCAUCACAGUCACAAACGUCAUGCGCGGAUCGGGCAGUGAGCGAUGGGAGCCCACGAGCGACCGUAAAAUUAGCCAUCCGCAACCGCAAGAGAUAAUGAGAUGUGUUGAUGAUCAGAUUUUCCAGCUCCCAAGAGAAAUCCUACCGAAUAAACGCAUUUCUGUAGCAUCGUCGUCCGUAUCAUUUCGUCGAGGGAUUACAGGCACCUGUAAGCAAUAACCCUACCUUUCCUCAACAGGCUCGCAUCCCAUCGUGAGAAUUUCGUCUGCGUUUCACAGGUGAGGAUGCGGCAAGUUCAGAGAAGUAAAAACAAGCAAAUAAACAUGAGUGAACUGGUUAACUCCAUGACGCAAGAACUUGAUUAUUAUUGGUCACUGGGCACUGAUAUUGAUAAUGGAACAGAAUCAUGCUUAAUUUACAAGGUUCAGCAACAUAUUCGUGACAUUGACAGAUUUUCAUACGAGCCCUGUAUUGUAUCAGUUGGUCCAUACCAUCAUGGAUCUGCAGAUCUGCAAAGUAUGGAGAAAGUAAAAUGGGGCUAUGUGGAUGUAAUCGUUAAACUGAACUGUAAGAGGAAUUUGCUGGAUUACUUAACAGCGGUUGGGGUUAUCAAAACGUGCAAGGAGCUGUUAUUCUGAAGAUACCAAGAUGGAUAACGAGGCCUUUCUGCAUAUGCUCUUACUUGAUGGAUGCUUCAUUCUGUGUUCUCUCGGGGGUGUGCAGAGAUUCAUGCAAAAUUGACAAGUAUAUAAUGAGAGCGAAGAUAUUGAAAACGCAAGGGCUGUUUGCGGGGAACAGCCAGAGCGUCCUAAGGGUGAGGAUGAUGAGGCAUGUCGAGAGAGCGUCCAAGUGGGGGAAGAAGAGGGCGCAGGAUAUAAACAAGAUUGCAGAAAGGGCGGACAUUGGUUUGUGAGGUUUGUCAAUCACGAUUUAUUAUUGCUGGAAAAUCAGAUACCAUUUUUUAUUGUGAAAACAAUAUUUGAACUUGUUACAGAUAAUUGUGCUUCAUCACAAUGUUUGACAGAUGACCUUGCUAAGUAUGUCGAGGCUGCUUUGCGUUGGUAUCCAAAAGCAAUUACUGAUUCUGACAGACCGAAAGACUUUCACCAUUUGCUUCACCUGUGUCAUAUUUACUUCCAACCGAGUCAGAAGCUGGAGGAAGAUCACAACUAUAAAUUUGUGCCUCAGUACAUUCACAGUUUCCUCAGUUUUGGACGGAAGUAUUUCAGAAUCAACUACUACCUAGAAAACAAUAGACAUGAUUCAUCAUUCCAGAACGAAGUGGAUCUGGCACAAGGAGGGGAUCAGCUUAAUCGUUGGCGACGAGCUGCACAAUAUCUAGAAGCCGGAAUAAAGUUUAAGAAACGGGAAUAUGAUAAAUUAAAACCCCAUUCUCUGCUAGACAUUUGGUUUAGCAAUGGUUCCAUGGACAUUCCGUGUAUUGUUGUUGAUGAGUACACAGGGAGUCUUUUCAGGAACCUUAUUGCGUUUGAACAAACCUGCCCUCAAUUUGGAGAUGACUUCACUGCUUAUAUUGUUUUCUUGUCUCAACUUAUAAGCAUGCCAGAGGACGUUACGCUGCUUAUUCAGAGAAAAAUCAUUGUGCACCAGCUUGAUAGCGAUGAAAGGGUGUCUGAUCUCUUCACCAUGCUCAGCAAAGACGUGGUUUUUGAUUUCAAUGGUAACUACUACUUAAAACUCUGUGCCAGACUAUGGAAGCUCACUAUCAAAGUCUCAUCAAUCGGUGGAUGGCAUGGCUCUGGCUAAACCACUUCAGCAAUCCAUGGCUGGCUUUGGCUGCGAGUGCGACUGUCAUUGUCCUCAUCUGCACAAUUGUGCAAACCGUUUUUGGCAUACUGGCUUAUGUUAAUCCGCCGAAGUAAGCCAUGUACAGUAACUGUGACAGUGAGCGAUCUCGUCAGAUCUCUGAUCUUGCUUGUUAAAGCAGUUCACAGGUUUGUUUCAGUACAAUGCUAACCAGAAGCUCGUCACUUCUUCUUAAGGGGUGUCAUUUCGUGGUGUGAAGUGAAACAUUUAAGGCCUGUUUGGUAUAGCUCUAACUCCUAAAUUUAGCUUCAGGAGUUGGGUCUGGAGUGGAGUUGUGGAGCUGUCUAAACCCAGCUCCACAACUCUAGUUCAUUUUGUGAGAGAGCUCCACCCAACUCCACUCCCAGUUUUGGUGGAGCUGAAACUGUUUGGCUGAGCUCCAGCUCCAGGAGAGGUGGAGCUAGAGCUGGAGCUGUGCCAAACAGGCCUUUAGUUGGUGAAUUUUUGGCAUCUAGAGUUUCAGACAAGUAGGAAGAGUGAACAUGAAUGUUCACUUGUCAUGAGGAUUUUUACCAUCCAACGGUACCGCUAGGUACCAAAUCAUGGUCGUUGGAUCGAGCCAGAUCCAACGACUAACAGAGUUAGGUACCGCUAUGUACCACUUCUGCUCCUGAAUUGGUACUUCGCGAUAAAUAGAGGUAGAGGGGCAAGAAUGUAAUUUUACGUACGGAUGGAUGAGCGAGUUACGACCGGAACGAUAGAGCUGGAGGCGUGCGCCAUCUCCUUCACAGCCGUUGUGCCGCAUCUCCUUCGUCACCACCUCCUCCGCCUCCGUCGCCUCGCCACCUCGCCGCCCUGCUACCACCUCUUGCUUUGCUAGCGCCGCUUUGCCGCCGCCGCAGCUGUCGCCUCCUUCACCGGUGACACCUACUCCGCCGUCGCCACCUCCUCCUCCUCCUUCGUUGCGGCGUUGCCUCCACCAUCCCCGACGGCUCCUCCUAUGCGCCACCUACUCUGUUAUUUUUCCUCCCGAUUGUACCCCUCCGGAAUUGUACUGUUCGAUUUGUUUUGGUACCUACAGGUACCAGUACCAGGAGGUAUAAAUUGCAGGACCGUAAAAAUGCUCUCAAACAUAACUUGUUUUCAUCCUUUGGAUUUCUGGACCUAAACCUAUUCAGGGACCAACGGGAAUUUUUGGCUCAACACUUCAAUUGACUUUUUUUAGAAAGGUACUUCAACUAACUUACAAAGGUGUAAGAAAGAAAUGGAGAAUUGGAUACACGCGAUACAGCAAAUUUGUUUGUUCUUUUGAAGAAAUAUAGAGUUGGUGUCUUCAUAAUUUGUCUUUCAGGCUCGUGUUUCUUCAAUAACUUGUGUAAUAUUCACGCUAACUCAAAAAUAAUUAAGUUUAUUCUCUCUCAUAGGAGUAGUACUCUCUCUGUCUAAAAAACGACUUCAUUUUUCCUUAUCACAUUUAUCUUACAUUCUCUGUAUUUUUCCUUCAAGAAACGCAAUACUCAUGCAGGCGUUCACAACGCAAGCUCACUUACACCUAUAAAUACACACGCACACCUUCAAAAGGUUAGGUCGGUAUAU